rnacentral:lncRNA from 1 species
GAAUGAGAGGUUUGGCUUAAUUCUGAUUUCACGGGCACUCUCUCGCGUAGUGCUGGACACUUGCACAUAUGUGGCAAGUAUUGUUGAGGCGGUAGCAGGAUCGGACUCCACGGUCCUUGGUACAGUGCUAUCAAGUCCUACCGCGCUUAUUGCCAGAGUCUGAGUAGGAGCUUGAGUCACAGGCCUAGGUCUUUUAUUCUGUUGAGUCGGUGCAGUAGG